ACGACCCAAUCCCCACAGCACCCACACAUCACACACCUCCACCCCCAAUCUCCGACCCGAGGGCUCCCGAACCCUAGCUCACGCGCCCGCGCCGUCCAUGGCUCUCGUCGUGUACGCGUGAGCGGGGGAUCUGUCUACCAUCCGUGGGGGCGGGGCGGCGAGAGAGAGAGAGAGGCGGGCGGGCGGGGAUGGAGGCGAGGCGGAUCUCGGCCAGCUCCCGGCCGUGGAACGGCCGGCGGGUGGUGGCGAGGAAGCGGCCCAGGUAGGAGGCGCCCGUCAGCAGCGUCAGGAAGCUCCAGCGCAGGGAGAUCAGCUCCCGCCGCGACCGCUCCUUCGCCAUGAACUCCGCGCAGGAGCGCUUCCGCAACAUUCAGCUGCAGGAUGGAGGAGGACCUCGUGUAGGUGCUGGCCUGAUGUGGACGGAGGGGGACGGGGCGGGGGAGGAGCACGUCCUGAUGUGUACGGAGGAGCACGUCUGAGCAAAAUUGUAAUAUGAGCAAAAUUGUAAUUAAUGUUCAGUUUAAAUACAAUUAUGUAGAGAAACUUUGGAUUGUAUAGAAUAAAGAGCGAAUUUGUUUUUAUUCUA